UACGAAGGGGGCUAGCGUUGCUCGGAAUCACUGGGCGUAAAGCGCACGUAGGCGGCUUUUUAAGUCAGGGGUGAAAUCCUGGAGCUCAACUCCAGAACUGCCUUUGAUACUGAGAAGCUUGAGUCCGGGAGAGGUGGGUGGAAUUCCUAGUGUAGAGGUGAAAUUCGUAGAUAUUAGGAAGAACACCGGUGGCGAAGGCGGCCCACUGGAUCGGUACUGACGCUGAGGUGCGAAAGCGUGGGGAGCAAACAGG
rnacentral:rRNA from 1 species